GAUGAACGCUGGCGGCGUGCCUAAUACAUGCAAGUCGAGCGAACGGACGAGAAGCUUGCUUCUCUGAUGUUAGCGGCGGACGGGUGAGUAACACGUGGAUAACCUACCUAUAAGACUGGGAUAACUUCGGGAAACCGGAGCUAAUACCGGAUGAUAUUUUGAACCGCAUGGUUCAAAAGUGAAAGACGGCCUUGGUGUCACUUAUAGAUGGAUCCGCGCUGCAUUAGCUAGUUGGUAAGGUAACGGCUUACCAAGGCAACGAUGCGUAGCCGACCUGAGAGGGUGAUCGGCCACACUGGAACUGAGACACGGUCCAGACUCCUACGGGAGGCAGCAGUAGGGAAUCUUCCGCAAUGGGCGAAAGCCUGACGGAGCAACGCCGCGUGAGCGAUGAAGGUCUUCGGAUCGUAAAGCUCUGUUAUUAGGGAAGAACAUAUGUGUAAGUAACUGUGCACAUCUUGACGGUACCUAAUCAGAAAGCCACGGCUAACUACGUG
rnacentral:rRNA from 1 species